AACGAACGCUGGCGGCGUGGCUAAGACAUGCAAGUCGAACGGACCCCCCUUCUUGUUUUCACAAGAAAACAGGGGGGUUAGUGGCGAAAGGGUUAGUAAUGGAUAGGUAACGUACCCUGUGCUCCGGGAUAGCGUCUCCUGUACCGUAUGGUACAGGAUACCGAAAGGGGCGGUAAUACCGGAUAAUAUCCUUUGUCGGUGGGCAAAGAAUCAAAGAUUUAUCGGCGCAGGAGCGGCCUAUUUCCUAUCAGCUUGUUGGUGAGGUAACUGCUCACCAAGGCGAUGACGGGUAGCGGGACUGAGAGGUUGGCCCGCAACAUCGGGACUGAUACACUGCCCGGACCUCCACGGAGGGCUGCAGUAACGAAUCUUGCGCAAUGGGCGAAAGCCUGACGCAGCGACGCCGCGUGCGGGAGGAAGUCCCUCGGGAUGUAAACCGCUGUCAGGGGUAAGAAAGCCCUGCACCAUAUGGUGCGGGGUUGAUCUAACCCAGAGGAAGUCACGGCUAACUUCGUGCCAGCAGCCGCGGUAAGACGAANGUGGCAAGCGUUGUUCGGUGUUACUGGGCUUAAAGAGUGUGUAGGCGGRRAAGUAAGCGUCGCGUGAAAGCCCCCGGCUUAACCGGGGAACUGCUCGACGAACUGCUUUUCUUGAGGCAAGCAGGGGUGCACGGAACUCUUGGUGGAGCGGUGGAAUGCGUAGAUAUCAAGAGGAACGCCGGUGGAGAAAUCGGUGCACUGGGCUUGUUCUGACGCUGAGACACGAAAGCGUGGGGAGCGAACGGGAUUAGAUACCCCGGUAGUCCACGCCGUAAACGAUGUCUACUAGGUUGUGGAAGUUCUGACACUUGCACGGCCGAAGCAAAAGUGAUUAGUAGACCGCCUGGGGAGUACGGUCGCAAGGCUAAAACUCAAAGGAAUUGACGGGGGCUCACACAAGCGGUGGAGCAUGUGGAUCAAUUCGAAGCAACGCGCAGAACCUUACCUGGGUUUGACAUGCUUGGAUGCUUGCCGAGAAACCGGUUAAGCUGCCCUUCGGGGUGAAACUUGCACAGGUGCUGCAUGGCUGUCGUCAGCUCGUGUCGUGAGAUGUCGGGUUAAGUCCUCUAACGAGCGAAACCCUUGCCGUUAGUUGCCAGCGGGUCAUGCCGGGGACUCUAACGGGACUGCCGGUGUAAAACCGGAGGAAGGUGGGGAUGACGUCAAGUCCUCAUGGCCUUUAUGCCCAGGGCUUCACACGUGCUACAAUGGCGGCAACAAAGCGACGCAAGACCGUGAGGUGGAGCAAAUCGCAAAAUGUCGCCCCAGUUCGGAUUGUAGGCUGGCAACUCGCCUGCAUGAAGUCGGAAUCGCUAGUAAUCGUGUAUCAGCUAUGACACGGUGAAUGUGUUCCUGAGCCUUGUACACNNCGCCCGUCNAGUGAUGGGAGUUGGGAGUACCCGAAGUCGGNUUGCUAACCCUGCACCAUACGGUACAGGGGAGCGCCUGCCGACGGUAAGCCCGAUGACUG
rnacentral:rRNA from 1 species